rnacentral:lncRNA from 1 species
GGGAACCUUAGCUAACUACCGGAAAGCAGUAGCUCUGAGCACACAGCGACUGUGAGAAGUCACGUUUGGUAGAACAGGCUGUGCUGAUGGCCUCGCAGCCCGAGUGCCAUUCCCUUUCCCAGGAAUAGCGAGGGCGACUGGGUCCUGUACAACACUGUAGAGGAGUAGCACAGAAGAGAACCAGCUCCGGUCUGGAGCUGAAAAGCAGCUACUGAAUACAGUCAAGAAGAAAAACAUUUAAACCAGGUAGGAACUGUGAUUCUCCACGUUUCUUCCUCUUCCGCUGGCACCAAGAGAGCAAGCUAUACAACGCAGAGGUAGGAACAUCCAGUGCAGUGAAAAUACUAAACCAGAACACAAAGGCAGAGCAGGCUGGCUGGAAGGUACAGCCAAAGGAAAAUUAGCCUCCUCUUUAAAGGUCUAGGUACUAUUGCCAUAAGCAGUUUUGCUGAUGUAGCAGAGAGAAAACCUUAGUGCUCCUCCUUACUCUGGACUAUCACAGUCGUCUCCUCCACCUCAGUUAUACCACAGGUAAAAGUUUUUGGUUUAAAGUAGAUUCUAAAGCUUUAUUGGUCUAAAUAAAAAAAGUACAACUCAUUUCUACA